rnacentral:tRNA from 1 species
AGUAAGAGGAAAAUCCGUCGAUUUUCAAGAUCGUGAGGGUUCAAAUCCCUC